rnacentral:tRNA from 1 species
AUAAAUAAGAAGGAUAAGGCGGAGAGCCAAGUAUGAACGAUCUUA